AUUGAACGCUGGCGGCAGGCCUAACACAUGCAAGUCGAGCGGAUGAAGGGAGCUUGCUCCUGGAUUCAGCGGCGGACGGGUGAGUAAUGCCUAGGAAUCUGCCUGGUAGUGGGGGAUAACGUCCGGAAACGGGCGCUAAUACCGCAUACGUCCUGAGGGAGAAAGUGGGGGAUCUUCGGACCUCACGCUAUCAGAUGAGCCUAGGUCGGAUUAGCUAGUUGGUGGGGUAAAGGCCUACCAAGGCGACGAUCCGUAACUGGUCUGAGAGGAUGAUCAGUCACACUGGAACUGAGACACGGUCCAGACUCCUACGGGAGGCAGCAGUGGGGAAUAUUGGGCAAUGGGCGAAAGCCUGAUCCAGCCAUGCCGCGUGUGUGAAGAAGGUCUUCGGAUUGUAAAGCACUUUAAGUUGGGAGGAAGGGCAGUAAGUUAAUACCUUGCUGUUUUGACGUUACCAACAGAAUAAGCAACGGCUAACUACGUG
rnacentral:rRNA from 1 species